GGAGGUGGCGAGCGUUUUCAUUCAUUGGGUGUAAAGGGCAGGUAGGCGUCCUACCAAGUUGGAAGUGAAAUCCUGCGGCUCAACCGCAGAACUGCUUCCAAAACUGGAGGGAUUGAGGCUGAAAGAGGAGAGCGGAAUUCCCGGUGUAAGGGUGAAAUCUGUAGAUAUCGGGAGGAACACCAGUGGCGAAGGCGGCUCUCUGGUUCGGACCUGACGCUGAGCUGCGAAAGCUAGGGGAGCAAACAGGAUUAGAUACCCUGGUAGUCCUAGCCGUAAACGAUGAGCACUAGGUGUUGGGGAGUAUUCUUCAGCGCCGUAAGAUAACUCGUUAAGUGCUCCACCUGGGGACUACGGCCGCAAGGCUA
rnacentral:rRNA from 1 species